AUUGAACGCUGGCGGCAGGCCUAACCCAUGCAAGUCGAGCGAGCGGCGGACGGGUGAGUAAUGUCGGGGAACCUGCCUGAUGGCGGCGGAUAACUACUGGAAACGGUAGCUAAUACUGUAUACCAUCAGAUUUGCCCAGAUGGGAUUAGCUAGUAGGUGGGGUAAUGGCUCACCUAGUCGACGAUCCCUUGCCGGCCUGAGAGGAUGACCAGCCAAAAUGGAACGGAGACACGGGCCAGACUCCUACGGGAGGCAGCAGUGGGGAAUAUUGCACAAUGGGCGCAAGCCUGAUGCAGCCAUGCCGCGUGUGUGAAGAAGGCCUUCGUGUUGUAAAGCACUGUCGGCGGGGAGGCGUUACCCGCAGAAGAAGCACCGGCUAACGCCGUGCCAGCAGCCGCGGUAAUAC
rnacentral:rRNA from 1 species